UCCAAUAACCUAUCAUUUGUUGUCGCCAAAUUAAGCUGUGUUUUGAUGAGUGAUGGAGAAGAAAACACUUGCCCCAACCCCAUAACCUCUUCUUAAUUUUCUCUGUUCAUGUCAUAAGUUUGCAAGGGCUUCUCGCUAGUGUCCAGUCGUCCGUAUUUUUUCGCUUUCUCUAAUCAUGAUUUGGGUCAUCAGCGGCCCCAAGCAAGA
rnacentral:lncRNA from 1 species